UACGAAGGGGGGCUAGCGUUGCUCGGAAUUACUGGGCGUAAAGGGCGCGUAGGCGGAUACUUAAGUCGGGGGUGAAAGCCCAGGGCUCAACCCUGGAACAGCCUUCGAUACUGGGUAUCUUGAGUACGGGAGAGGUGUGUGGAACUCCGAGUGUAGAGGUGAAAUUCGUAGAUAUUCGGAAGAACACCAGUGGCGAAGGCGACACACUGGCCCGUUACUGACGCUGAGCGCGAAAGCGUGGGGAGCAAACAGG
rnacentral:rRNA from 1 species